rnacentral:lncRNA from 1 species
GUUUAUCACCCCAGGAUGGAAAAGGUGAGGAGCAGAUAGGUGGGGCUUGGGUGGCAGGGUAUAAGUCUCCUCCCUCACCUCACCUAAGUACCUCCUCUGCUCCCCCUAGGGUCCCUGGCUCCCCCUGCACCUGGCUCCAUGACCAGUUUUAAUUCGAUGGAUGCACAGUUGCCUGUGAUGCCUUUGGAGCACUGGGAGAGCUCACCUGGUGAUCUAUCUAGUCCUUGACACACGUCAGCCAGUGCCAUGCUUGUUGCCCCAACCUGUGCAGUGACCUACCUGGCUGCAGGCAAGAGGCCUGGCUGUGGGAGUGAUUAGGAGCCCCUGGCCUUUUUCACUUCAGGUACUUUUCCUGUUAACUGAGGACCCUAGACUAAGCUCCCUUUUCCACACAGGAGAUGCUGUUAUUCUAGGCACAGGAAGUAGAAGUUGAGGUCCACAAAAAGUUAGGGUAUAGUGAACUAAGACAACUAAAACCAGGACACAGAACAGCUCAAGUUUAUCAGUAAAUUCUGCAACCACACACAUAAAUUUGCACAUAGUAAGUUUUCAUUAAAUUUCUAUUUAAAGUUUGCAUAAGGUGGUUUCUACUGGGGAAAUGGAAGUAUAUGAUAGGGAUAAGGGUUGCCCUUUGAGCUUUGGGGGCCACACAAGGUUUUGGGACCUGGAGCAUCAUGGGUUUGGAAAAUUCAAAAACUGAGAUGAACAGGUACCCUGGAGAGUAAAGAAGAGAUGGUAGCCUAGAACUGAGGAAUCUCUGAAUGGCACUGGGGUGGGAUGGGAGACCAGUCAUUGUCAGUGGAAGAAUGAGGCCCCUCCCAAGUUUGAAAAGUUGUGUCUAGGGUUAUAGGCCCCAAUGUGGGAGCCAUUGGGCACAGUUUGACAGUAGCAGGAGGAGGAAUGGAGUUGCAGUGAGAUAGGGCUUGUGACCAUCCUUUUGAAGAAGAAACUAAGAGUCUGAGAGGCUCAGAGACCUGUGCAUUAUACCACAGCUAGCCAAUAAUGCUGUUCUCUGGGAGCUUACCCUGACUUGGUCAGUGACUGUCAUGGAUUCUAGUAUCCUGACAUGUAAGUUCCAAGUGUUGUCAGGUGAAACGGGAUAAACAAUCUCUUCUUUCAUUCCUCCUGCAAUACCCUGCCCCCCCCCAUAUCAGACCUGAUCUUGGCUGACUGAGACCAUGUUGGAUCCCCUAUACUGUUCUGAGAUAUUUAUUUAUAUGUGGUGCUGAGAAUUGAACCCAGCGCCUCACACAUGCUAGGAAAGAACUCUCCCAUUGAGCCACAACCCCAGCCCCUUUGCCCACUUUUUGUUGAGACUUUCAGCUCCAAGAGGUGAACAGGGCAGCUUCCCUCUUGGGGUUUGGACUUUCAGGAACUUGCGGGUGGGGAGCAGGAUGCUUACAGACUGGAGAAAAGGAGCUUGAGGUUUUGUAGCUCCAUGGAUGGGAGAGUCUUGGAUGUGGGGGUGUUGCCCAAGGGCUGGGGACAUGUGGACUGUGAAGGGAAGCCUCAAACACCCAGGUGAGGGAGCUUGCCAACUGGAUGGGGUUGGAAAACUUCUUCCAGACUGGAAGAUACUCAGACUUGGGGGUUUGUGGAGCAAUGGAGGGUAUAAGAAUGUUCCCAGGGAUGAAUUACAAGGGCUGGAGUUUCAGGACACUGGGUAGGGAUGAACUGAGAAGCCAAUGACAACAGGACCACAAUUCUGGGGGCAGGGAUAAGGCCUGGGGCUGAGGAGUGGUGCUUGUGUCAGUCACUGAGGCUGCUGAGAGGGUAAGGGGUUCAGCUGAAAUACAUCUGGAGCCCAAAUGUACCCCAUUGGAAAAUGGGGGUGAUGAGUUGUGUGUGGUAUGAUUGCCAAUGGAAUUAGUAAUAAGCUUCCAAGUGACCUGCAUUGUGCCCAGCUAAGCUGUGUGGUAGCAGUGUUGAUGCUUAUCUUUAAUUAAUAUUGAUUACAAUCACACUAGGAAAGGCCAAGCUCCCUUAAUUCUUGUGAGUUUGAACCAAUGCCCCGCUCAGCUUCAUCCAUUCAUGAAUAUAAUAAAGCAAUUACCCCCUUUAAGUCUCACUUUAUUUAUGAAUCUAAAUCAACAUCUUUCAUGGUCCCACACAAUUUAUUAAUUUAUUGUUUUAAAGAAUUUAAAUUUUAUUUUAUAUAUGGUACUGAGGAUUGAACCCAGUGCUUCACACAUGCUAGGCAAAUGCUCUACCACUGUGCUACAACCCCAGUCCCUAAUUUAUUAAUCAAACCUUUCUAAUAGUGGACUGAGGGGUAACUGACAUAAAAUUUUUAAAAAUAUUUACUUAUUUUCUUAGUUGUAGUUGGACACAAUACCUUUAUUUUAUUUUUAUGUGGUGCUGAGGAUCAAACCCAGGGCCUUGCACAUGCUAGGCGAGCGCUCAACUACUGAACCACAACCCCAGCCCCAUUGACAUAAAAUUUGAUAGGUUUUGAAUGUAAUGUUUACAUCUGUGAAACUACCAGUAUCACCAGGAUUGAGAACGUAACCAUCCCUACCAAGCAUUUUUCCUUGCCUCUUUCUAAUUACUCCUUCCUGCCCCUGACUCCCUCUUCAGGUAACUGCUGAUCCACUUUGUCACUAUACAUCAGUUGACAUGUUACUAGAUAUUUAUAUAAAUGGAAACUUACAAGUUGGGACUGGUGAUGCAUGCAGUCCCAGCAACUU